rnacentral:lncRNA from 1 species
GCCCCUGCCAAUGUUGGGUAGGGUCCUCUGUGUGUGCCCAGGCCUCACUCACCCUGGCCAGCAGGAGGACCCUCCUUCCUCUUGCUGGAGGGCUCAGGGCUGACGGUUAGCUUCACACGGAGGGUCUUGCUGCUGCCCGAGGAGUGGUUGACCGAGGCAUCCACAACCUCAUAGAUGGUGUGCAUGAGGCUGGACAUGUCCUGGGGCCCGGCAUCAGUUUCACUGACAGAGCAGACCCCAGGGGACGCCACCCGCCCUCCCUGCCAGAAAACACAUCCAGCCCCCGCCCCUUCCUGUGCCAUCCUUGCAUCCACCAACAGACCUCAGGAACCAACACAGGCAUCUUCUCGGAGCAGCCUGGGUCUGCCCAGGUGGCCCUGUGAGCAUCUCCAGUGCCCUGAGGGCAGCCUUGCAGUGUGGGAAGCACAGCCGCAGAAAUGGGCGGUGCAGGCUCGGCCCAGAAACACGUGAACUGGGCCCUGGGGAGACGCAAGCCCAGCUGGCAUGAGGACCUCGCAGCAGGCAGGUCUCCUCCUGCCCCCUGAAGUAUCGCGAGGCCAGCACAGUCUGUCUGCCCUGUCUGUCUACUACUGUGGACCUGACACAAACACAAGCUCACCUACCUCCCUGGUGACCUUCCCGCAGUUGUCAAAGUCAUAGAGCGUGAACGUCCACUCCUGGCGGUCGUCCUCCUCCACUGAGACAUCGCACUGGAGUGCCUGUGGGGGACGUGGGGGCCGGGACCUCGCCUCCUACCCACGCCAACACGCCCAACUCCACAGGGGGAAGGAUCUUCUGGGGCCUUUCCCAGGGGUCCCUCAUGCCAGCUGGGAAAGGCGGAGCCUAGAGGGCAGCAUGGCUGGAGCUCAAGCCCUGAACCAGCAGACCCUUUCUUGCCCAGCUCCAGCCCUUCUUGGAGGGACCCAGCUUUGUGCCCUGUGAUUUGGUUCCCCCACAGUGACACCUAUCUCAGCUCAUGCAAGCACUCCACGUCACCCAGAAGGAGAAGAGGACACACUGGCCGUCAAGUGUUGUCAAUUCCAGAAAUCUUGACUGGACACGGAGACCCCACUCCUCCCUGAGCCCUCCCAGGAAACGGAAGCCCUGUGCCCUGCCUCCAGCGGGCAGAGAGUCGGGCUGUCCAUCAAGUCAGCUUUGGCAUUACUCCUAUAGUGCCAAGGGCACCAAGGCUGGGAACGCGGCUCAAGUUAUUUAAUGCCAGACCAGUCAGUUUUGGCCAAAUUCACAGCAACAUCCUGCACUCUCUGGCUCCUGCUGACUUUGGCUUGCACAUUCAAGUUCUGCUUCAAUGCCUUAAACCGGGUGAACUGUGGGGAAGACUGAGUGAACUACGCCAUGUCCACAGAUGCCCAGUUUAGGGCAACACAUGCCUGUCCCUGAGCCCCCGGCCCCAGGGACGUGUUUCCGCAAGUGAGGCCGGAGAGAGACCCACGUCAAUGUUGAGGCGCUGCCCGCCCGGUCCUCGCGGGCCCUCGCGGUUUGCUGCCCUCUCUCCGUCAUCUGCGCUGAGGAGUUGUCCUGGGUGCUCGUGGCCCUCAGCUUUCUCAGGGGGGAGUGCCACUAGGGGGACAAGAGGAGGCGAAGGGGCUGGCAGAGGGCACACGGAGGAUGUGGCCCGCCAUUGGGGGCCCUCGCUGCUCUCCCCUCACCACACCAUGAUCCUGUCCAGACGGGCCUGAGCUGAGAGCCCGAUCUUGGGACCCCUGCAGAGGGGUGCAGCAGACUCCGAGGAGCACAGAUAGGGGAACAUAGCCUGGGCCUCCAGGAGAUGCUCCCUGUGUCAUCAUCGGGCCCCCUCCCCAUAGACACAGUCCCUACGGCCCUCCACUCCAGAAUCCUAGCACUGAGCCCGCAGGCCACGCAGACCACCUGUGCACUGAGUGUGUUAACAGGCGGCCCCCUCCCCCCAGCCUCUGGGCAGGAUGGAUGAACAGCCCUCUGGUUUCUGGGGCACAAUUAUUCCGUUAUUCUCCAGCACUUGCAAGCUGCGUCCCCAGGAUAGGAGUGUGGGGCUGUCCGGGCUCAGCAUCUGCAGACAGGUGCACGUCGAGCCUGAGCUGGGAUGAUGCUCUGGGCCUGCCUUCCCACUGAGGGGGUCUGGGUGCCUCUCUUGGCUUCAGCAGCCAUCCGAAGGUGGCCCUGCUGGCUGGCCUCCCAGCACCCUCCCACAGACCCACAGGUAAGCCAAGUGCUGACCUGCCACACGCCACAGGUAGGACUGGUGCCACUGAGGCACACAUGCGUGGCAGUGACUUAGGCUGGUCCUCCCGGAAAGGCCCCUCCUUGGGGUCCCCGUUGGGCAGCUCCUGCAGGAAGAACAGGGCAGUCAGUGGCCACAUAGCUCAGUGGGCAGGCGGGGGAGACGGGCAGGAGCUCUGGGCGGCUGGACUGGAGCCUGACACUUGGCCUCAGGCCUCCUGGGGCGUCUCAAUCUCUGGGUCCAGAAACACCAACCCUUCGUGCCCCACUCAGCCUCAGAUUUUAGGAAGCAAAACACACAGACAUUCCCGUGUUGUCAGGUUCCCCAAAGCAUUUCCAGGUGGAAGACGCAGCUGCCUGGAACGACCCCUUCAGUCAGUGCUGCCCUGGGGAUCCCCUUGGCCAGGGCCCCCAUGCUGGAUUACCCUAAAUGCAAGAGAAGACACACUGCCCCUUUGCUCUGGGGCCUGCUCCCAGCACUGCCCACUGGAGCCUGACACGAGGACUCCAGCCGCUGCCCGCAUGGCUGCCCAGGACCCCAACACGCCUCUUCUAGGGCUGCCGGCCGAGACCAGUUACGGAAAAUGGGGAAAAACUUCAAA